rnacentral:rRNA from 1 species
GGAGAGUUUGAUCCUGGCUCAGGACGAACGCUGGCGGCGUGCUUAACACAUGCAAGUCGAGCGGAGCAGUCUCAUAAAAUCCUUCGGGGUAGAUUGAGAAUGUGCUUAGCGGCGAACGGGUGAGUAACACGUGGGUAACCUACCCUAAACCCUGGGAUAACUCCGGGAAACCGGGGCUAAUACCGGAUAAGGUCAUUUAGGCGCAUGUCUUUAUGACGAAAAGUCCGCUGGUUUAGGAUGGGCCCGCGGUCCAUUAGUUUGUUGGUAGGGUAAUGGCCUACCAAGGCUACGAUGGAUAGCCGACCUGAGAGGGUGACCGGCCACACUGGGACUGAGACACGGCCCAGACUCCUACGGG